GAUGAAGAACGUAGCGAAAUGCGAUAAGUAAUGUGAAUUGCAGAAUUCAGUGAAUCAUCGAAUCUUUGAACGCACAUUGCGCCCAUUAGUAUUCUAGUGGGCAUGCCUGUUCGAGCGUCAUUAAUUCCACUUAAGCCCUGCUUAGUGUUGGGAAUCUACUCUAGUGGUGCUACCCUGGAGCUACCCCUGAAAGGGGGCUGGCCCGGUAGCUACCCUGUAGUUCCUCAAAGAUAGUGCGCGGAGUUGCGUGGUCCUCUGAGCUUAGUAACUUGUUCUAGCUUUAGAGUACACCACUUCCCCUGCCGUAAAACCCUUAAUUUUUAAUGGUUGACCUCGGAUCAGGUAGGAAUACCCGCUGAACUUAAGCAUAUCAAUAAGCGGAGGA
rnacentral:misc_RNA from 1 species